rnacentral:rRNA from 1 species
CAUUUUCAGGAAAUAGCUUUGAUUUCGUUUUUUUAAACUAAAACCGUACUUAAACCGACACAGGUAAAUAAAUUUAGUAAAUUAAGAUGUUGAGUUAACUGUUGUUGAAGGAACUCGGCAAAAUGACUCCGUAACUUCGGGAUAAGGAGUGGCUUUUUUUGGGCAACCUUUUUAAGCUCACAGAAAAUCGGGAACAGCGACUGUUUAAUAAAAACACAGGUUUCUGCUAAUUUGUAAAAAGAUGUAUAGAAACUGACGCCUGCCCAGUGCUAAAAAACUAACGAAAAAAGUUUUGGCUUUAAUCCUAACUUUUAGUAAACGGCGGCUGUAACUCUGACGGUCCAAAGGUAGCGAAAUUCCUUGUCGGGUAAGUUCCGACCUGCACGAAUGGUGCAACGAUCUGGACACUGUCUCAGCCAUGAGCUCGGUGAAAUUGUAGUAUCGGUGAAGAUGCCGAUUACCCGCAGCGGGACGAAAAGACCCCGUGAACCUUUACUAUAGCUUCGUAUUGACUUUGGAUAAGUAAUGUGUAGGAUAGGUGGGAGACUAUGAAAUGGCGUCGCUAGGCGUUGUGGAGUCGUUGUUGAAAUACCACCCUUUGCUUAUCUGAAGCCUAACCUCUUACGAGGAACAGUGCGUGGUGGGUAGUUUGACUGGGGUGGUCGCCUCCAAAAGAGUAACGGAGGCUUCUAAAGGUACCCUCAGCACGCUUGGUAACCGUGCGUAGAGUGCAAUGGCAUAAGGGUGCUUGACUGAGAGACAUACAGGUCGAUCAGGUUGGAAACAAGAGCAUAGUGAUCCGGUGGUUCCGCAUGGAAGGGCCAUCGCUCAAAGGAUAAAAGGUACUCCGGGAUAACAGGCUGAUCUCCCCCAAGAG